GCACUGCUGACGAGUUCCAUACAAGGAUGAAACGGCCGUCCAGUGC
rnacentral:hammerhead_ribozyme from 1 species